UACGGGGGGGGCGAGCGUUGUUCGGAAUUACUGGGCGUAAAGGGUUUGUAGGUGGUCUGCUAAGUCAGACGUGAAAUCCCUCAGCUUAACUGGGGAACUGCGUCUGAUACUGGCGGACUUGAGGACAGGAGAGGAACGCGGAAUUCCAGGUGUAGCGGUGAAAUGCGUAGAUAUCUGGAGGAACACCGGUGGCGAAGGCGGCGUUCUGGACUGUUUCUGACACUCAGGAGCGAAAGCGUGGGGAGCGAUCCGG
rnacentral:rRNA from 1 species